CAGGCAUAGAAAGGAUGAUUGGAACUCCGCACAAACUAUAUCUUCGUAUAUUAAAAUGUCAACCAUUGAUGGUUGACUUAUAGUGAUCACUUAUAGCUUCAUAAAUCUGGCCUUCGUCAAUAAGAUUUUUGAUAGCCUACAUCAGCUUGUCCUUAGGAAGUCGUAGUUGCUCUUCAAUAAGUUUAAUAGAGACUCCCCCUUCCGAUGCACUGAAACAUCAGUAUCAGAAAGUUGAGAUGUGAAUGCCAUUAUGCCAGACAAGUCUCCAUGUAUCAAGAGAAUAUAUGGAAGGUUUAUCCAAUUCAUACCAGAACGGAUACCAGCAAAAGUCAAGCCAGAGACUUAACUUUUCGACCCAGUCACAUGACAGGAUUAUAUGCAUGCAUCACAUGCACAAACAACAGAUAUUCAAACAAAACAAAGGCACCAGGGAGAUAGGCAUAUGGUCAACAAGAGCUGAUCAAAUAAUACAUCAAAAUAACUUUCAAAAGAUCACCUGUGUG